UUUUUUUUUUGCCUUGGUAUGGUUCCCACAGACUCCUGUGUUUAUUUGGCUCCCAGAUGGUAGCACAGUUUUGGAAGAUUGAAGAACCUUUAGGAGGUUGCAGACUGGAAGUAAUUACCCACUCUUCACUCCUGCUAUUGUUGGGUUCUGAGCAGAAGCUGAGAAAACUCACUUCAGAUCUGGAAGCUUAGAAAAUGAAAGCUAUAUUUUCUGAGCGCUUAGAGAGGCAGCCAUUUCUGGAUCUGAACUGCAUCCCUGAAGGGAGAUUGCACAUUUUUUAAAGGAUGGGAAUACAAAGUGAGCAGGGAGCUGGGGCACCAACCUGAGCACAGUGCACCAAAACCAGGGCAGCAAGGACUGGUAAAGAAGUAAAUGGUGUUGGAGAGGGGAUUGUAGUUAGGUCAUGCUCUUUCUGCUGGCUGUCCUGGAACUAGCUCUGUAAACCAGGCUGACCCUGAACUCACAGAGAUCCACCUGCCUCUGUGCCCCCCUCCCCCUGCGUGCUGGGAUUAAGGGUGAAUAACUUGGCUCUGUCAUAUCCCUCUGUCCUGAUCUGUCUUGUCAUGGUGAAGAAAGACUGGAGCCCAUAAAUGUUGGACAAGGAGACAAAAGAAAUCUUUUCCUGGGUGUUUCAUCACAGCUGAGAAAAAUGAUCAGGACCAUUGCAAGCUAGAAAGCCAUCAACCGAGGAAAUUAGUCUGAACAGGUGAGAGGGUGCGCCAGAGAACCUGACAGCUUCUGGAACAGG
rnacentral:lncRNA from 1 species